rnacentral:lncRNA from 1 species
AGAGUCUUCCGGCUCCUCUCUCGCGAAGCAGUGCUAGGCGCUUCCGUCCAGAAAGAACUUCAAAUACCGUGAUGCAAAGCGACUGGACGCACGCGGGGAGGAGGAAGAGGAAGGCACUCGGAAGUCAUGCCCAGCCGAGCCCACAGGACACCUCCCCACUUACAUGCUGUCAUUGCUGAACAUGGCUAGCCUCUGAGACUCCUGGGGCAGGGGAGAAAAUAUGCAAGGAAGAACAGGAGAUAUUUAGAUCUUAAAAUACCAGAAGUCUGAAGAUGGCAAAUUAUCUCUGAGAUGUUUAUCUUCUCUCAACUAAUUUGAAAUGCUACUUUGAAAAUGUGUAAGAUCUUGUAUAUGCACCAGUCUUGGAAUAUUUUCUGGACUCUGCCCCAUUUCUGAUUUUUUAGUGUCUUAUAGACCAAGUCCUAUUUCAUAACAAGUUUCUUAGUUAUUUGUCUGUUGUUCUGAGACAGGAUCUUACUAUGAAGCCUUGGCUAGCGUAGAACUCACUAUGUCGACCAGGCUGGUCUGAAAG